UAGCUCAGCUGGCUAGAGCGUACGGUUCAUACCCGUGAGGUCGGGGGUUCGAUCCCCU
rnacentral:tRNA from 1 species